rnacentral:lncRNA from 1 species
GAUGAUUUCUGUUUCGGCAGGCUGAAUUUCAGUGCUAUGAUGAAGAGAAGCCCAGAGUGUCACAAAUGCUCAGAGCUGGAGCAUCCUACACCCCGCGAGGAUUAGUGAAAACAUCCUGGAGAUUGGACUCACCUUAAGUGACUCGGGCGCAGGAUGACUGAAGAGGAUAACUGGACUUGAGAGCACAGCUGGAGAAAUUUAUUCUGAAAGCUGUUUUGCUGCUGCGGUGCCAUGCAGUCUUUCCCCUGAAACUGCUCAAGGGGGUCAGCUGGACGGCGUUGCCGGUCCUCAAUGGAGAGAAAAUGUCUGUGUACUCUUGGAAGAGCUGUUGUACUGACACAAUCAAGGGCAAGAAGAAGGAAAAAAUCAAAUGUGGUUAAAAUGUUUAGAAGGGCAUCAACAAAGCUGGAAUAUUGGUCAAAGAUUUAUUAACUACUGGUACUCACAUU